GACGAACGCUGGCGGCGUGCCUAAUACAUGCAAGUCGAACGCAGUGGGGACGGGUGAGUAACACGUGGGUAACCUCCCAUCAGAGGGGAUAACACUUGGAAACAGGUGCUAAACCGAUACUGAUGGAUGGACCCGCGGUGCAUUAGGUAGUUGGUGGGGUAACGGCUCACCAAGGCCACGAUGCAUAGCCGAGCUGGAGGGGUUAUCAGCCAAACAUGGACUGGGACACGGCCCAGAAUGCUACGGGAGGCAGCAGGAGGGGAUCUUCGGCAAUGGGGGGAACGCUGGCCGAGCAACGCCGCGUGAGUGAAGAAGGUUUGCGGAUCGUAAAGGUCCUUUGUGAAGGAAGCGGUACUUAACCAGGAAGGGACGGCUAACUACGGGCCAGCAGCCGCGGUAAUAC
rnacentral:rRNA from 1 species